rnacentral:rRNA from 1 species
UACGUAGGGCGCAAGCGUUGUCCGGAAUUAUUGGGCGUAAAGAGCUCGUAGGCGGCUUGUCACGUCGGAUGUGAAAGCCCCGGGGCUUAACCCCGGGUCUGCAUUCGAUACGGGCUAGCUAGAGUGUGGUAGGGGAGAUCGGAAUUCCUGGUGUAGCGGUGAAAUGUGCAGAUAUCAGGAGGAACACCGGUGGCGAAGGCGGGUCUCUGGGCCGAUAUCGACGCUGAGGAGCGAAAGCGUGGGGAGCGAACAGG